CCUACGGGACGCAGCAGUGGGGGAUAUUGGACAAUGGGGGGAACCCUGAUCCAGCGACGCCGCGUGAGUGAAGAAGUAUUUCGGUAUGUAAAGCUCUAUCAGCAGGGAAGAAAAUGACGGUACCUGACUAAGAAGCCCCGGCUAACUACGUGCCAGCAGCCGCGGUAAUACGUAGGGGGCAAGCGUUAUCCGGAUUUACUGGGUGUAAAGGGAGCGUAGACGGCAGCGCAAGUCUGAAGUGAAAGCCCGGGGCUCAACCCCGGGACUGCUUGGGAAACUGCCUGACUGGAGUGCUGGAGAGGCAG
rnacentral:rRNA from 1 species